CGACUUAGCGGCGGACGGGUGAGUAACGCGUGGGUAACCUGCCUUACACUGGGGGAUAACAGUUAGAAAUGACUGCUAAUACCGCAUAAGCGCACAGGGCCGCAUGGUCUGGUGUGAAAAACUCCGGUGGUGUAAGAUGGACCCGCGUCUGAUUAGGUAGUUGGUGGGGUAACGGCCCACCAAGCCGACGAUCAGUAGCCGACCUGAGAGGGUGACCGGCCACAUUGGGACUGAGACACGGCCCAA
rnacentral:rRNA from 1 species